rfam:Camelus ferus unplaced genomic scaffold scaffold1441, whole genome shotgun sequence.
GAGGGUAUAGCUCAGUGAUAGAGCGUAUGCUUAGCACGCAUGAGGUCCUGGUUCAACCCCCAGUGCCUCCA